rnacentral:rRNA from 1 species
UGCAGAGGUGGCAAGCGUUGUUCGGAAUUACUGGGCGUAAAGGGCGCGUAGGCGGUCUUGCAAGUCCUGUGUGAAAUCCCUCGGCUCAACUGAGGAACUGCACAGGAAACUGCUUGGCUUGAGUUCGGGAGAGGGAAGCGGAAUUCCGGGUGUAGCGGUGAAAUGCGUAGAUAUCCGGAGGAACACCGGUGGCGAAGGCGGCUUCCUGGACCGACACUGACGCUGAGGCGCGAAAGCUAGGGGAGCAAACGGG